GUCUAAAAGUAGAGCUUUGGAACAUCUUGCAUCUCUGCUGCUGUUAAGGAGGAAAUAAAUAAUGCACCACGGAUUGAAGCUGUGUUCAGUAUUUGUUGAAAGCACACAUCUCAUCUAAUUAAAGCUUUAACACAACUUUAAAAGAAGCAGCUAUUCUCUUCACUUGUUAUUGGACUUGAAACUCCUUUGACCUCGGAAACUGAAGAUGAGGUUGCCAUGGGAACUGCUGGUACUGCAAUCAUUCAUGUUGUGCCUUGCAG
rnacentral:lncRNA from 1 species